rnacentral:rRNA from 1 species
UACGUAGGGUGCAAGCGUUAAUCGGAAUUACUGGGCGUACAGCGUGCGCAGGCGGUUGUGCAAGACAGAUGUGAAAUCCCCGGGCUUAAUCUGGGAAUUGCAUUUGUGACUGCACGGCUAGAGUGUGUCAGAGGGGGGUAGAAUUCCACGUGUAGCAGUGAAAUGCGUAGAUAUGUGGAGGAAUACCGAUGGCGAAGGCAGCCCCCUGGGAUAACACUGACGCUCAUGCACGAAAGCGUGGGGAGCAAACAGG